rnacentral:lncRNA from 1 species
GCCUCACAGCUCCCUUUCGGCACAGCAAAGCAGUGAUUCCAUUAACUAGCUGGCUGUGAGCACGGGGUUUAUCUAAUGAGUUCUCUCCUCCUGGCCUCCUGGCCAUUCCAGUGCUGGUGUGUAAAUAUGAGCCACAGCCUGGGAGGGCGUUUUGCACAAGCAUCCCGGGGCCUUCCAUGGGCUUUUUUUUAUUUUUGUGUUUUUUUGUCUUUUUAGGGCUGCACCCACGCUAUAUGGAGGUUCCCAGGCUAGGGGUCGAAUCGGAGCUACAACUGCCAGCCUACACCACAGUCACAGCAACACUGAAUCCUUAACCCACUGAGUGAGGCCAGGGAUCGAACCUGCAACCUCAUGGUUCCUAGUAGGAUUCUUUUUCGUGGAGCCAUGAGGGAAACUCCCACACAUCAUUUAAAAAUAGAGAUCCCUGAAGUUCCCUUCGUGGUUCAGUGGUUAACGAACUCGACUAGCAUCCAUGAGGAUGCAGGUUCGAUCCCUGACCUCGCUCAGUGGGUUAAGGAUCCGGCGUUGUCGUGAGCUGUGGUGUACGUCGCAGACACAGCUUAGACCCUGCGUUGCUGUGCCUGUGGUGUAGGCCGGAGGCUACAGCUCCAAUUCAAUGACUGAGGAACCUCCAUAUGCUGUGGUUGCGGCCCUUAAAAAAGAAAAAAAAGGCAGAAGAAAACCCAGUGUAUGUGCGAGUGUGUGUGUGUGUGUGUGUGUGUGUGUGUGUGUGUGUGAGAUGAAUGUGUGGGCACAUGUGCGCAUGUGUGUGACAGCCGCUCUGGGAGGGAGCUUGGACCUCUGCGUAUGAGUUCACCUCUGACCUGGCUCCCGUGGCCGAGGCCCGGGUGGUGGGCUGGGUGGAACAACCACUGGGGGCCUGGGUGGCCGCGCUCCUGCUCAGGAUGGCCUUUGGCCAGCCCCGCCACCGAGAGUUGUUGUCAUUUCUUGGAGCCUGUCCCCUGGUUGGGUGGUCCUGUCCCACAGGCCACACGUGGGUCCAAGCCGCCUCCACAGGAGGGCAGCUGUGGGGGGGUGUCUUCAGCAGCUCUGCGUCCCUGGGGCCUGCACUGGGGUAGCUGCAGUCUCCUCAGAGAAAUGUCCCCUGACCCUGGCCUGACCGCCCUUCUUUAGGCCUGGAAGGGUCAGUUUGUGCUCCUGGGGCUCAGAGACCUGGGCGGGGGGUACCCAGCCAGUGCCACCGUGUUCACCUGGGGCUGCUGGAGCGGUGACAGCGCUGGGGGAAUGCAGCUGGUCUCUCCGGGUACCACUCACUUCUGGAUUUCUGUCCUAACGGACACUUUCACUGCCCUUGGUCCCAAAGCCACGGUCCAGCUUGGCUUUUGGUGACUCCAGGGCUCACCCCGAGCAGCCCUCAGCCUCAGCCACGGGGAGGCCAGCGGAGGCCGAGGCAGUGGCUCCACGAACCCGGGUGUCGGGAGCCUGUCCUCCGGCACCUUCCCUCCUCUGCUUCGUCCCCCGCCCGGCUGUCGCACGUGGAACUCCUCAGGUCCCCGUGCAUGUUCUCAGGGGGGCUUUUGUAAGAUGCUGCUGCCUGGCCGCUACCCUGGAGAUGUGGCCGUCUGCUGUGCGGGUAAUUUCUUUCUCUCCUUCUUUCAUUUUCUCUGGCCGCACCCACGGCAUGCGGAACUUCCCGCCCCAGGGAUGGCACCCUCCGCCAUGGCAGUGACACGAGCCAUAGUGGUGACAAUGCCAGAUCUGUAAGCCGACUUUCUCCUUUGUAAAUGUUUCUGAAAAUUCGUAAAAGUCACUUUUUAAAAAAAGCCCUCUCAAAAUGGAAAAAUAGAAAUCAUACAACGUUUAAAAAAAAAGAAAGAAACAAUCUGUUGAAACAUACAUGGCCUGAAGUUUACAUUUUGCUGGCUUUUAGGGUCUCUAGUUCUGUGGCCUCAAGCACACAUGCUGCUGUUCAGCCGGCACCACUGUCCAUCUCUUGAAUGCUGAUCUCGCACAGCUGGAUCGCUGUCCCCGGGCAGCAGGAACCCCCCCUCCUGCCACAGCCCCCGGCAGCCACCGUUCUCCUUUCCACCUCUGCGCGUGCGGACAGCGGUAGGGCCUCGUGCCAGUGGAGCUGUAUGGUAUUUGUCCUUCAGCGUCUGACUUCUUUGGUCCAGCCUGUCUCCAGGUUCAUCCGUGGUGCAUCGUGGGUCUGAAUUUCCUGCCUUUUGAAGGGUGAGUGAUGGUCCCAUAUGCGUCUGUCCCACAUUUGUUCAUCCCUGGGUCUGCGGAUGGACCUCUGGGUUGUGCUCCUCUUUUGGCUGUCGUGGAUGCUGCUGCCGUGACGAUGGCUGUGCAAACAUCUCUUGAGGCUCUGCUUUCAGUCUUGUGUGGUUUCUCUAGUGGAAUUGCUGGCCCCUGUGUUCUUGCGUGUGUGACGUCGAGGGACCCGUGACUCUGUCUUCUGCGGCAGCUGCGCUGUGUCACGUCGCUACCAGUGAAGCUCAGGGAUUCCAGUUUUCCCAGGCUUCUCACCACGGCUUCUGUUUUCUGUUCGUGUGGGCUUUGUUUGCUUGAUGAAAACCAUCCUAAUAGCUGUGAGGCGAUGUCUCGUUAUGGUUUUGAUUUGCAUUGGAGAUGAAGCAUUCAGAUACUUCCCCAGGGGUGCCCGUGAGCACCCAGAAUUGAGAACCAGCAAGUACCCGGCCAUCGGUUAUCAGGGGCUGUCAGGCGCUGAUCUGGGUGCCCGUUACCCUCCUCGGUCUUGGGGAGACGGGAACCAUUCUCCUUUCUGCGGAGGAGAAACUCGGGCACAGAGGUGGGUGAACGCCGCACAGUUAGCAGGUGGUGGGGCGGAGUCACACCCACAUCCGUGGGCCCCAGAGAGCCUCCCUCUGGGCCUCGUUGCUCCUUAGCCCCCAGCCGACCAGGCUGCUCAGGGAACCUUCCACUCCAGGAAGCAAAAGCCUCCGGGGCACCAGGGCAGCUCCGAUUUGCAAGGGGGCCGUCCGGUCUAAAGACGAAAUCAAGAUGAAAUCUAUUCUUGAAAGGAAUGUUUUUAUUUUUAGUGAGGAGGUGUGAUUGAGAAGAGUUGUUUCAUUUUAAAUAACCGAUGGUUCUCCCGCUUCCAGCUAGUAGUUUAAUAGUUACCUUGUAAUCAUUUAUUCAAAUAAAACUCAUGUGGAGGCUGUGUUUUCAGGGGCAGCAAUCCAGAAUCCACGGCGUUUCUGUCUCUCGUAUUUCCCCAGGGCCUGGAGCAGGGCCGCGUGUGAGAGCUGGGGCAUGACAACAGUGCCCCCUCGUGGGAACUGGAAAUGCGGCCCUGGCACCUGUAGCAACUUUGUCCGAAAGCUGGGAGCAGGGAUUUCUGUUCCCAGCCCUGUCUAGGUCUGUUUUUGGUCAAGGGGCGUAAAAAGCCACUCUUUUCCAAGAGUCGUUCUUGCUGCAGGGGGACCAAAGGCAGAGUUAGGGCCCCGAGUGACAGAGACAAUGGCAGAUUCAGUCUUGCUCCCCUUGCUGACCCCAAACUGCCUCCCGGAGGGGACUUUCCACUGGAGCCCGGGCGUUGGCCGGAGGCUGGUUGGCUCCCACGCCACCCACAAAGCAGGCUGGGAACGUCUGAGCCUGGGAUUCCCGCCCCAGAGUCUUUGCUCUCAGAGGGUCUAGAAUGGGCAGAACCUCGCUGCCUCCCUUCCCUCCCUGGAGAAAUAUAACUCCCUUAUCGGAAAACAAUUCAUAUACCAAACAAUUUACACAUGUAAGUAUAUAAUCCAGUGGCUUUUCAUGUUUUCACAGAGUUGUGCAGCCAUCACCACAGUCAGUUUUAGAAUGUGCUUGGAGUUCCCGUCGUGGUUCAAUGGGUUAAAGACCCCAACAUUGUGUCCGUGAGGAUGCGAGUUCGAUCCCUGGCAUUGCUCAGUGGGUUAAGGAUCCAGCAUUGCUGAAAACUGUAGUGUAGGUCACAGAUGCGGCUCAGAUCGUGCAAUGCUGUGACUGUGGUGUAGGCUGGCAGCUGCAGCUCUGAUUCAACCCCU